CCCCACCCGGUUUCCAUGGACAAACGAGGGGCGCGUUGUCCGCAGACGGACAAGCAAACGGAAAGCCAGGAAGCAGCGCCCGGCUCCGAAAGGGGCCUCGUGCCCGGCUCCGACGGGGGGACCUCGUGCCCGGCCCCCGGCGCUCCGAGAGCCGAGAGCGGGCCCUGGGGAGACUCGGGCAAGAUGGAGGCGCCGUCCCGGCCCGCGGUCUCUCCGCUCGCCGCACGCCGCCUUCCCAGCGGAGCGGAGGGCGGGCCCCGCCAGGGCAAGGCGGGAGCCGAGCUCCCUGCGGCCGCCCAAGUCCCGCCGUCGCGCCCGUUUCCUCCGCCUUUGUGCGCGGACGGCCGCCUUUUCCUCGGGGCCCGGAGAAACCCGCAGCGCGGACCGCCAGGAGCGCGACCCGCGGCCGGGGGGCUGCCAAGAGUGGCCACUGGCGUGCCAGCCUUGGAGGUGUAUACGCCAAAGGAAAUCUUCGUGGCAAAUGGGACACAAGGGAAGCUGACUUGCAAGUUCAAGUCCGCGAACACCACAGGCACGUCGACCUCGGUCUCCUGGAGCUUCCAGCCAGAGGGGACCGACACCACUGUGUCGUUUUUCCACUACUCCCAAGGGCAAGUGUAUCCUGGGAAUUAUCCACCAUUUAAGGACAGGACCAGCUGGGCUGGAGACCUGGACAAGAAGGACGCGUCCAUCAACAUAGAAAAUAUGCAGUUUAUCCACAACGGCACCUAUAUUUGUGACGUCAAAAACCCUCCUGACAUUGUUGCCCAGCCGGGACACAUUAGGCUCUAUGUCGUAGAGAAAGAGGUCUUGCCCGUGUUUCCGGUUUGGGUGGUGGUGGGGAUAGUUGCUGCUGUGGUCCUGGGUCUCACUCUGCUCGUCAGCACGACCCUGGCUGUUCUCUACAGAAGGAGAAACUCUAAACGGGAUUAUAUGGGCUGCAGUACGUCAGAGAGCGCGUCCCCACUUAAGGAGGCGCCACGGAAGUCGCCCUCCGAUGCAGAGGGUCUGGUAAAGAGCCUGCCUUCCGGAUCCCACCAGGCACCAUCUGAGAACCUGGUAGCAUUUGUAGUUACUACUGGGAGAAAUAAAUACAUCCGUGCUAUUUUAUCAGAAGAGAAGCAGCAGGAGAACCUAAGGAGGAUAUUUACAAAAGAUGAGACGUAACACCCAACCAAGACACUAAGUUUGCUGUUUCAUUCGUCUUGCUUUGGUCACUAUUUUUGUUAUAAUUGGAAGGCUUGAGUAAAAGUAGCUUUAAUAGUCAGAGGUUUAUUUAUUCACAAGGGGUCCCAAGGAAGGUACUUCUGUGUUCUUUAGUUCAGUGGCCCCACAGUGUCAUCAACAACAUAGUUAUUUCCACCAUAUUCUUUUUUCUUAAGAUGCUAUUUAUUUCUUCGACAGAGACUGACACAGUGAGAGAGGGAACACAGCAGGGGGAGUGGGAGAGGGAAAAGCAGGCUCCCCGCCGAGCAGGGAGCCCAAUGCGGGGCUCCAUCCCGGGAUCCUGGGAUCAUGACCCAAGCCAAAGGCAGAUGCUUGAAGACUAAGCCCCCCAGACGCCCCGACCCACUGUACUCUUUCAGUCUCUGCAUAUCGUCUUGUUCUUGGGCUCCUUCCCGCAGCUUCCAGAUGGCUGCCGUGGUUUCUCCCGUGGAGCAGAGGCCGUGGGAGAAGAGCCGACUCGCCUCCCAUGCGGUUUUGUUGUGGAGGAAAACCUUCCCCAGAAGUUCGCCCGUAGGCUUCUCUGAGUCCCACAGGGAUUGGGUCACCCUGAUGGCUCUUCCCGUCCAGGUCAUUUACCUGAGCGGGCGGAGGGACAUAAAUACUGAAAAAGCUGUUUUGUGAGCGGUCGCCGAGCAUGUGGUGAAAGCAGAUGUUCUCUUCUGGUGGUGCCUGGGCUGACAGAUCGGGCGUGACUGAGACCAGAAAGGGCCGCAGAGACGGCGGCCAGUGGACGGCAGGACAGAACACGGGCCCAGUCAUAUAUGCGCAGUUAGACCACUCUGGUGGACAUCACAGUGACAAGAUUAACAAGUCAGAGUCUGUGGUGUAUGCGGACAUCCGGAAGAAUUAAGAGAAGACCCAGAACAUACCCUAAGCAAGAAAUAAAUGAAAUGGGACACUUGUGCAGAAAACGGAGCCCAAACCCCGUGUGGGCUGGGAGAGCUGGGCAAGGACAAACACGUUUAUUCACGGAAGGAGAAAAAGAUUGUAUAAAGGAUAUGUAUAAACAUUUUAUUUAAUCUGAUACGGGGAGCCAGUGCUGCAUGACAAAAAGAUGCUAUGAUUCUACGUAUAUAUGAACUGCCUUGCUGUUCUGUGCUGUCUUCCAGGGUCAUUUACAGUUGGGAAAAGUCCAAAACAUUCCUGUUGCUGUCAUUUACGUGCGGUUUGCCUUCGUGGAGACAGUGCAGAUCCUUAGUGUUCCAGUAGACGUGGCCCUGUGGUCUAAGGGCUUAGCCAGUCUUAGCAUUUAUUGUGGUCGGAGAGCGGAGACGCUGACCAGUGUCGGCACCCCUGCUGGGCUGUAGGAGUUGGAAAACCUCAUCUCGCGUGCCCCUUGGACACAGCUUGAGAAGUCUUUGUUGGUGUAUUUCUCUCUAGAAUACAGGGUGGUCUUUCGCUUUGUAUGUUGUGAGACCGACUUUCAUGUUACACCCUAACCCUCUCAGUUUGUGGAUCUGGCACAGUGAGACCAGCAAAGGGUAAAUGCCGAGGCCACCGCUUCCUCGAUGCUUUCAGAUGGAUACCAUAAACACCGUUGAUGUAGGAAGCCUAGGCCUUGCUUAAGGAGUGGGUAGCAUUUGGAGAGUAAGAAGUACUGCUUAACAUUCUUUGCCCAGGUCCUUCCUGCUUGAAGUAAGGGUCUCCGUCCAGCCAAAGGAGAGGAGUUUCUUUUCCUUUUAAGUGGGCACAAAUGGGGUCAUUACAAAGCCAGUCUGUGGCACCCGGAGCUGUCUCGAGACGAUCCUCUUUGGAAGAGCUUCCGGCAUGUCUGGCGAGACGUGGCGUCAGUCAUAGCUCUGUGAUAGCUUCCCGGUGUCUCAAGAGGCUGAAGAUAGUCUAGACUUGUGAAUCAGGGUAGGGUUAUUAGCACUUCUACUCUGGGGUUCCCGUCUCUGUCACUGUUUUGAAGUUUGGGGUGGGGUUUUGGGGGGGGGUUCUUUUUUUUAUUUUUACUCCACCCCCUACUUCCCCCAGUACGUGGAAUCGAUUAAAACUGAGAGCUCGGCACCCGCUCUAGCAACAGCCGCUGGCCCCCGGCCCCCUUGCCGCCCAACCAGACCCCUGGCCCUGGCAGCAGGCGCCUCCUAGCCCUUCCUCUUGUGUCCCAGUGUGCCUGUGCCUGCUGCAGAGGACAAUGGUGGGGUUGCUCUCAGCUGGCAGAGCUGCCCUUCCUGUGCCUUAUUAGUGGCAGGACGAGACCUUUUAACAUUCCAUGUGAUCAGGGGACACCCAGAAGGCAUUUCUUAAGAGACGAAAAUCCCAGACCACCUCUCGGUUUUCAGUGAAAUGUAUCCAGCUCGGGAAAACCCAUCUAGUUCGUUAUUAUUUUUUUGUUUUUUCCUUCUUCAGAAUUGUUGUACCUUUGUGAAUAUCUUAAUACAUCUUUUUCAAUUACUGAA